rnacentral:misc_RNA from 1 species
GAUGAAGAACGCAGCGAAAUGCGAUAAGUAAUGUGAAUUGCAGAAUUCAGUGAAUCAUCGAAUCUUUGAACGCACCUUGCGCCCUUUGGCCAUUCCGAAGGGCAUGCCUGUUUGAGUAUCAUGAACACCUCAACUCUUUAUGGUUUUCCAUGAUGAGCUUGGACUCUGGGGGUUUUGCUGGCUCAAAGUCGGCUCCUCUAAAAUGAAUCAGCUUACCAGUGUUUGGUGGGUAUCAUGGGUGUGAUAACUAUCUACGCUUGUGGUUUUUCCACCAGGUAACCUUCAGCAGUGGAGGUUCGCUGGAGCUCAUAGAUGUCUCUCCUCAGUGAGGACAGCCCUUUGAAUGUUUGAUCUCAAAUCAGGUAGGACUACCCGCUGAACUUAAGCAUAUCAAUAAGCGGAGGA